rnacentral:rRNA from 1 species
UACGGAGGAUGCAAGCGUUAACCGGAAUUAUUGGGCGUAAAGCGCACGCAGGCGGUUUAUUAAGUCUGCUGUUAAAUCACCGGGCUUAACCUUGGAACUGCAGCUGAAACUGAGAGGCUGGAGUACCGUAGAGGUAGGGAGAAUUCCCGGUGUAGCGGUGAAAUGCGUAGAUAUUGGGAGGAACACCAGAGGCGAAGGCGGGCUCCUGGGCGAAGACUGACGCUCAGGUGCGAAAGCGGGGGGAGCGAAAAUG